UUCCUUAAAUAAGCAUAAUUUGGUAAGACGAUAUUAAGCAAAGUUGUAGCCCUCAUCACGACGAACAACUUUUGUUAAUAUCUUCUUACCAAAAUAUGCAAGCGUAACGAGUUACGUACUGCGCAUACGCAGACCUAUCUCCUUAAAUAAGCAUAAUUUGGUAAGACGAUAUUAAGCAAAGUUGUAGCCCUCAUCAAGACGAACAACUUUUGUUAAUAUCUUCUUACCAAAAUAUGCAAGCGUAAGGAGUUACGUACUGCGCAUACGCAGACCUAUCUCCUUAAAUAAGCAUAAUUUGGUAAGACGAUAUUAAGCAAAGUUGUAGCCCUCAACAAGACGAACAACUCUUGUUAAUAUCUUCUUACCAAAAUAUGCAAGCGUAAGGAGUUACGUACUGCGCAUGGGCAGACCUAUCUCCUUAAAUACGCAUAAUUUGGUAAGAGGAUAUUAAGCAAAGUUGUAUCCCUGAUCAAGACGAACAACUUUUGUUAAUAUCUUCUUACCAAAAUAUGCAAGCGUAG
rnacentral:lncRNA from 1 species